AACGAACGCUGGCGGCAGGCUUAACACAUGCAAGUCGAACGCGUGUAGCAAUACACGAGUGGCGCACGGGUGAGUAACGCGUGGAUAUCUGCCUUUUGGUUCGGAAUAACCCCGGGAAACUGGGGCUAAUACCGGAUGGUUCCUUCGGGAUAAAGAUUUAUCGCCAAAAGAUGAGUCCGCGUCCGAUUAGCUAGUUGGUGAGGUAAUGGCUCACCAAGGCGACGAUCGGUAGCUGGUCNGAGAGGACGAUCAGCCACACUGGGACUGAGACACGGCCCAGACUCCUACGGGAGGCAGCAGUGGGGAAUAUUGGACAAUGGGGGCAACCCUGAUCCAGCCAUGCCGCGUGAGUGAUGAAGGCCUUCGGUUGUAAAGC
rnacentral:rRNA from 1 species